GCCCUCUGCCAUAGCUCAGUGGAAGAGAAUCUGCUUUGCAUGCAGAAUGUUCCAGGUUCAACCCCCAGGCAGGGCU